rnacentral:rRNA from 1 species
CUCCACCCGUUGUGGUGCUCCCCCGCCAAUUCCUUUAAGUUUCAGCCUUGCGGCCGUACUUCCCAGGUGGCUCGCUUCACGGCUUCCCUACGGCACCGACAACGGUCGCACCGUGGCCGACACCUAGCGAGUAUCGUCUACGGCUAGGACUACCCGGGUAUCUAAUCCGGUUCGUGCCCCUAGCUUUCGUCCCUUGCCGUCAGGUCCGUUCUGGUGAGACGCCUUCGCCACUGGUGGUCCUUCAAGGAUUACAAGAUUUCACCCCUACCCCUGAAGUACCUCUCACCUCUCCCGGCCUCGAGCCAGACAGUAUCUCCUGAAAGCCUGACAGUUAAGCUGCCAGAUUUCUCAAGAGACUUAUCCGGCCGGCUACAGACCCUUUAGACCCAAUAAUAACGGUUACCACUCGAGCCGCCGGUGUUACCGCGGCGGCUGGCACCGGUCUUGCCCGGCCCUUGCUAUGAAAUGCUUUUUAGGCAUCUCGACAGCCAGAUUUGUAACCUGGCACUCGAGGUUCCCUUAUCGCUGUUGCCAGCAUUGUAAAGUUUUCGCGCCUGCUGCACCCCGUAGGGCCUGGAUUCGUGUCUCAGAAUCCAUCUCCGGGCUCUUGCUCUCACAACCCGUACCCGUCGUAGGCUAGUAGGUACGCUACACCCACUACUACCUGAUAGGCCGCAGACCCAUCCUUAGGCGCCGGAGCUUUAAAUCUCGAUGCAUUCCAGCAAUCGAGACCUAUCGGGUAUUAUACCCAGUUUCCCGGGUUUAUACCCAACCUAAAGGGCAGGUUGUCCACGUGUUACUGAGCAGUUCGCCAUGUAUUGCUACAUUCGACUCGCAUGGCUUAGUCGAACCUCGAUAGCAG